rnacentral:lncRNA from 1 species
CCCCACUUUCCCCUGGGGCCCAGCCCUGGGGCGUGGCUGUUCCUUACCCUGCGUGCCCCGGGGACAGGAACACUUGUAGGUGUUGAUGAGGUCGAUGCAGGUGCCCCCGUUUUGGCAUGGGUGGGACAGACACUCGUUGAUCUCCUCAGAGCAGUUCACCCCGUGGUACCCGGCCACGCACUGUGCAGGGAAACAAACGAGGGGUGGGGGCCUGUGGCUUGGUGGGCGGCUGAGAUGUGGCCCUCUACCCGCUGUGCAGGCUGACAGGGCCACACCACAGGCCACUCUCUUGAUCCGUGAAGGCUUGAGUCCCUCACACCCGGUCGGCCCAGAGGGAGACCCUUGCCCAGCCGACUCUGAUAAGCUGAGAGUCACUGCCCGGAGCUCAGGCCAGAGCGUGUCCUGUGGCCAUGAGGUAGAGGCCCCGGGGCAGGUGUCAGCUGAGCCCAGAGACAGAGCUCUGGGGGAGGGGACCCAGACGGAAACCCCAUCUCAUAUUCCUGGGUAUUCUUCUUCUUCCCGCUCUCCCCGCCACGGACGCCUCCACCAGGCAGUCUUCCCUGAUCAUCACCGCCUUCCCUUACUGGGACUGCGUAAAGUCGGGUUUAGUCCUCCCCACGGAGCCUGGCUCGCGGCCCGGGGCCUGCCACACAGUGUCACUCACAGCCGGCACCCCUUGCCCCCCCGGGACGGUCCCCACCUCGCAGGAGUAGCCGCCAGGGUAGUCGGUGCAGGUGGCCCCAUUCUGGCAGGGGCUGGGCGAGCACUCGUCCACCUGGUCCUCGCAGUAGCUGCCCGUGUAGCCGGCCUGGCAGCGACAGUGGUGCGUGUUGCCCGCGUCCAUGCAGAGCCCCCCGUUCCGGCACAGGUGGGUGACAUUGAUGUCUGGGCGCCGUGCGGGCCACCUCGCAGGACACGGUGGGCACGUCGCAGUAGAGGCCGGUCCAGCCGCUGUGGCACUCGCAGCGGUACAGGGUGUUGGUCUGCCAACACUUGCCGCCGUUCUUACACGGUGAGGAGUCGCACCAGCGCACGAGGUUCUGGGGACAGCGGGGGUCGCCUGUGUUUACGCUCCCCUCCCGGGGCUGACCCCAGCGAGGCCGUGCGGAACAUGCAGAACCUCGCGCCCACGCGGG